rnacentral:rRNA from 1 species
GGAGUUAGCCGGUGCUUCUUCUGCGAGUAACGUCACAGAUGUAAGGUAUUAACUUACACCCUUUCCUCCUCGCUGAAAGUGCUUUACAACCCGAAGGCCUUCUUCACACACGCGGCAUGGCUGCAUCAGGGUUUCCCCCAUUGUGCAAUAUUCCCCACUGCUGCCUCCCGUAGGAGUCUGGGCCGUGUCUCAGUCCCAGUGUGGCUGAUCAUCCUCUCAGACCAGCUAGGGAUCGUCGCCUAGGUGAGCCUUUACCUCACCUACUAGCUAAUCCCACCUGGGCUUAUCCAUCAGCGCAAGGCCCGAAGGUCCCCUGCUUUCCCCCGUAGGGCGUAUGCGGUAUUAGCAGUCGUUUCCAACUGUUAUCCCCCACAAAUGGGCAAAUUCCCAGGCAUUACUCACCCGUCCGCCGCUCGUCAUCUUCAAAAGCAAGCUUUUGAAAUGUUACCGCUCGACUUGCAUGUGUUAGGCCUGCCGCCACGCGUCAUCUGAGCCGAGAUACAACCUACGA